UCUGGAAAAGUCUUGAAUUUGACAGGAUGAACCCUGCAGAAAUCAUUUAAAAGCACCUGCAGUUUUACUUGUCUUUAUUACAAUAUGCUGUAAUUGUUAAACAUUUUGUAUUUUCCACUGAUGUUAAUGUUGAAAGCAAAAUCCAUACAGAUAUUACAUAUUCAUAAAAAUCCAGAUUUCAUACUGGAUCAUGUUAAUGAAACAAAGGGGCUUGUACCUAUUGGACAAAAAUUAUUAAAUAAAAGCGAGACGCCUUUAAUUACAUAUACAUAGACAUUAUGUACUCUCUACAGUGCAGAUUUACUCCAGUGUUUGAAUAUUCCAUGAUGAAAGCAUUUGUUUUCUUGUCUUGCAUGUCGCCCCUUCCAGCACUUAACUGGAACUCAGUAUUUAUUUGUGUAUCAUUACUUGUCACACUUGUUGAACCCUCGUCAACAUUCACAUUGGUGGAAUGUACCUGCAGUUUUCACAGAAGAAUAGAUGGGAGUAUGCCAUUGUACUGAGCCAAGAAAAUGACAGGUGUGAUUAAGUUUAUUCAUUGGUGAGGGUGUCGAAAAAAUGCACGACAUAUGAGUCACGUCACUAGCCUUUAUUCAGUAGAGAUAUAUAAAGGCCUCCAUAGAUGUGAAGUGUCACUUCGGUGAAAGGUAUAAAAUAUUAAAGGCGUGAAUUGGACUGAACAUCUUAGUCCAAUUGUAUAUUGGAAUUGACAAAUUUUCAUCUUGUAUUUAAAUUUUGGAAGGAAGACAAGAUGGGUGUGGCACGGAUCACAACAAUUUUCUUGAUUCUAACAGUUGCAGGGGAUGCAGAUCUCCAAGCAACAACCACAGCAGCUCCAACAACAACAACCACAGCUGUGCCAACUACAACCACAGCUGCUCCAA